UACGUAGGAGGCAAGCGUUGUCCGGAAUUACUGGGUGUAAAGCGCGUGUAGGUGGUGGGCCAAGUCUGUGGUGAAAUCGCCCGGCUCAACUGGGCGAGGUCUGUGGAAACUGGUCGACUGGAGGACGGUAGAGGCGAGUGGAAUUCCCGGUGUAGUGGUGAAAUGCGUAGAGAUCGGGAGGAACACCAGUGGCGAAGGCGGCUCGCUGGGCCGGUCCUGACACUGAGACGCGAAGGCGUGGGGAGCGAACGGG
rnacentral:rRNA from 1 species